rnacentral:tRNA from 2 species
GCGAAGGUGGCGGAAUUGGUAGACGCGCUAGCUUCAGGUGUUAGUGUCCUUACGGACGUGGGGGUUCAAGUCCCCCCCCUCGCAC